AGGGUUCGAUUCUGGCUCAGGAUGAACGCUGGCGGCGUGCUUAACACAUGCAAGUCGAACGGGAUCCAUCAGGCUUUGCUUGGUGGUGAGAGUGGCGAACGGGUGAGUAAUGCGUGACCGACCUGCCCCAUACACCGGAAUAGCUCCUGGAAACGGGUGGUAAUGCCGGAUGCUCCAGUUGAUCGCAUGGUCUUCUGGGAAAGCUUUCGCGGUAUGGGAUGGGGUCGCGUCCUAUCAGCUUGACGGCGGGGUAACGGCCCACCGUGGCUUCGACGGGUAGCCGGCCUGAGAGGGCGACCGGCCACAUUGGGACUGAGAUACGGCCCAGACUCCUACGGGAGGCAGCAGUGGGGAAUAUUGCACAAUGGGCGCAAGCCUGAUGCAGCGACGCCGCGUGAGGGAUGGAGGCCUUCGGGUUGUAAACCUCUUUUAUCGGGGAGCAAGCGAGAGUGAGUUUACCCGUUGAAUAAGCACCGGCUAACUACGUGCCAGCAGCCGCGGUAAUACGUAGGGUGCAAGCGUUAUCCGGAAUUAUUGGGCGUAAAGGGCUCGUAGGCGGUUCGUCGCGUCCGGUGUGAAAGUCCAUCGCUUAACGGUGGAUCCGCGCCGGGUACGGGCGGGCUUGAGUGCGGUAGGGGAGACUGGAAUUCCCGGUGUAACGGUGGAAUGUGUAGAUAUCGGGAAGAACACCAAUGGCGAAGGCAGGUCUCUGGGCCGUUACUGACGCUGAGGAGCGAAAGCGUGGGGAGCGAACAGGAUUAGAUACCCUGGUAGUCCACGCCGUAAACGGUGGAUGCUGGAUGUGGGGCCCGUUCCACGGGUUCCGUGUCGGAGCUAACGCGUUAAGCAUCCCGCCUGGGGAGUACGGCCGCAAGGCUAAAACUCAAAGAAAUUGACGGGGGCCCGCACAAGCGGCGGAGCAUGCGGAUUAAUUCGAUGCAACGCGAAGAACCUUACCUGGGCUUGACAUGUUCCCGACGGUCGUAGAGAUACGGCUUCCCUUCGGGGCGGGUUCACAGGUGGUGCAUGGUCGUCGUCAGCU
rnacentral:rRNA from 1 species